AAAAAAAAAAAAAAAUCCAGCAAUAAAAAUAAAAAGUCGGUUGGUCGGGUAAUAUCGGCCAACCGACUUUUCAUCAUAUUAGAAACUAUACCCGACCCAACUAAACAUGGGUCGAUUAAAAUUAUCGGCCCGACCAGAGCGGGUCGGUUGGUGGGCAAUUAUCGGCCACAAAAGUCGGGCCGAUAGUGGGUCGGUUGUCGGGUAAAACCGACCCAUGAACAACCCUAGUUUUGAGUAAUAUGAAAUCAAAAUCAAGUUUAGAUUGGGUAAUUACAUGUAAUGUAUGAUGAAAUUCAAAUGAACUUGUUAUAUUAUUAAUAUUUCAUUAAAGGAUUAUGUAUAUGGAUAAAAUUUCCAAUGCACGCGCUUCCACGUGUCACGUGCGGCAGCGGAAAUUAAUGGAUGACGUUUAUUUAAUAAUUGUCGAGGUGAACAAAAUCAGAACAAUCUUCCCACGAUUCAUUAAUUUAAUUUUAUUUAUUUACAGGGAUCCAAAAUAUUAAGAUUUUUAAAAGAAGAGGAAAAUAAAAAAACAAGCCAAAACAACUUGUUCAUAUCUUUUCCGUCUCCUAAGGAUCUGAAAAAUCUCUGCUUCUAUUAAAUUAUCAGAUCAUAUAUACAUACAUACAUACAUAUGUAUCGUUUUACACACACAUUACACACGUAGGUGCGUAAUAUAUCUUCUGCUUCAAUUAUCAUAUCAUAUAUAUAUAUUUUCAGGGCAAUAUUGUAAAUAAAUCCGAUCGGUUGGAUUGAUUGAAAAUUUUGGAAAAAUCAAACCUAACAUUGAAAGAUGAAGAUUGAAUGCUGGGACAAAAUGAUGGCUCCGAUGAGGAAAGUCUGGACCAAAAUCUCUAAACGGGUCGGUCUUCGCAAAACGGGGAUUGUGAAACUGCAGCAAGAUGUGAGGACAUGUGAGUACGAGGAUGUACACAUAUUGUGGGACAUGUUGAAGAGAAAGGAGACAGACAUGAGCGGAAGACGAAAGGGUCCGAUGUGGGAUCAGUUUGUUCGAUGGGCGAAGCACACCCCUUUGAUUUGCCGUGCCGGCUGAAUGCCGAUCGAUCGAUCAAUCAAUCAAUCAGAUAUUAUUUAAUCCAAUCCUAUUUGAAUUUUGAUUUUUUCGUCUCAGUUUAUAUAUUUAAACAUGUCGUAAAAUCCGAAUGUGUUUAGGGUUUUGAUGUAGAGCGAUCGAUCUUCUUUUGAAGCUAAUUUCAAUAUUUGAACUACAUUUACUAUAAUAUAUAUAUGAUCUGCUUUCUGGAAA